rnacentral:rRNA from 1 species
AAGACAGGUCUCUGGCCAAAUACUGACACUGAGGAGCGAAAGCGUGGGGAGCGAACAGGAUUAGAUACCCUGGUAGUCCACGCCGUAAACGGUGGGCGCUAGUUGUGCGAACCUUCCACGGUUUGUGCGACGCAGCUAACGCAUUAAGCGCCCCGCCUGGGGAGUACGAUCGCAAGAUUAAAACUCAAAGGAAUUGACGGGGCCCCGCACAAGCAGCGGAGCAUGCGGCUUAAUUCGACGCAACGCGAAGAACCUUACCAAGGCUUGACAUAUACAGGAAUAUGGCAGAGAUGUCAUAGCCGCAAGGUCUGUAUACAGGUGGUGCAUGGUUGUCGUCAGCUCGUGUCGUGAGAUGUUGGGUUAAGUCCCGCAACGAGCGCAACCCUCGUUCUGUGUUGCCAGCAUUUAGUUGGGGACUCACAGGAGACUGCCGGGGUUAACUCGGAGGAAGGUGGGGAUGACGUCAAAUCAUCAUGCCCCUUAUGUCUUGGGCUGCACGCAUGCUACAAUGGCUGGUACAAACGGCUGCGAUACCGCAAGGUGGAGCGAAUCCGAUAAAGCCAGUCUCAGUUCGGAUUGGGGUCUGCAACUCGACCCCAUGAAGUCGGAGUUGCUAGUAAUCGUAGAUCAGCAACGCUACGGUGAAUACGUUCCCGGGGCUUGUACACACCGCCCGUCACAUCACGAAAGUCGGUAACACCCAAAGUCAGUGGCCCAACCGCAAGGAGG